AUCUCGCUCUGUCCUGCUAAGAAUCUGCCUGCCUGAGUGAUGCAGCCAGGCUCCCUUGUUCCCUGGGGCAAGGAACCAGUAGAGGGAUAGGGAAUCACAGUGUUUCCCGGCUGCAAGGGCCCUUGGAGAUGGUUUUACAGAUGAGGAAGCAGAGUCCAGAGAAAGGAAGUGAUCUGCUGGGAACCACUGUACUUUUCACACAAGCAACUUUCCGGGCAUCUGCUAUGUGCUGUCCACAGGAUGGCGAGGGGCCUCAUCUUGCAGCCUGAGGGAACAGCCUCAUAUUCAGGCUUCCUUUUGCCUUCUCUGCUUCACCUUGAUUGAAGCUACCCUUCUCUGCACCUUCUUUAAGACUAUCCUAAACAUCCUGCCAUUAAUUAGCUGAACAGCCCAUCUAGUAAACAAGACCGAUGGUUGAGGGGCUGGAAAAGAGGAGGAGUCAGCAAGUUGAAAGUCACAACAGACCAGCCCACUCCCUCAGAUAAAAGAAAGGUAAAUUUGUAUUUUAUUUUGUUCACAAGAAAUCACCUUAAUAUAACAUUGCCUUUCCUGUUGUUGCAGGCACAUCACAGUUGUCACAUCAGCAGGCUAGAAAAGCCAUCCCAUUCCUGCGGUAGGCAUUCUGUCAAAGAAAAAGAAAUCUGCAAUGAAUUAUCACAUGAAGUCAAACAAGGAAAGGAGGCAAAAAGCAAGCAGAGCCCUCUUCCUGUUUUGUAGACUCUGCUGGCUACAAUCUAAUAGAAUGCUUAAUCUGAAUAUUUCUGGUGGCAAAACUAUAGCAACCAUUCUGUCUAUUAAAAAGUCAGUGUGGUUAACAAGUGGUUAGUGAUUCUAUUUUUGGGAAGUAGCAGAUACAUAAAAUAAGACAUCCCAUUUUGUUAACUGAUUGGGCUUGGUUAGGCCAAAGAGAUGUAUUGAAUCUGUUUGUCUUUUAUAAACAUGUGUUCUCUAUUCGAUAUGCUCAGGAAUCACUUCUAACUAACUAAGUAUCUUAAUAGUCUAUAAAUUACUGACUCAUUACUGGCCCUUCCCGGGCCUAAUUUAUAGUCUGAGUGAAAAGCUGUCGGAACAGACACUAAUAGAGGCCUCUCCUCCUCCCUAAAAUAUGAUGAUCUCAAAGGAGUUCUGUAUAGUUCUGCAUAUUGUAGACAGUAUCAAAAAUGCAAAUCUUAUAUAAUUUUAUAUACAUACCUGUACGUACAGAUGUACACAUGGAUAUGCAUGGUGGGAUAAAAUACUCCCAUAAAAGAAAAUGGGAAAAUGGAUUCUAAGUGCAAUAAUUAAUACGUUUCAGUAAAGAAAGAAAAGUUGCAUGCUUUUCAUUCCAAGAGACAUAUUUUGCAUUUCAGUGUUGGGAGACCUGGAUCACACAGGGUCUCUGUAACAUCCUGAAUUCCACCAUAAGACCCAGAGGGGAGCAGAACUAAAAUUCAGGACUUAGGAAUAAAAUUUCCCUUUCCCUGGCACAUUUUUAAUCAUUUAAACUAGUAACAGUCACAUCCAGAGAAUUCAUAACCGUCAAUCUUUUCAGAAAAACAAAGAAAAUCAUAAAAUUCAGGUUAGGGAUUUUUCCCCCUUAGGCUAAUAACUCUGAAGCAGUUCUGGAGUCUGUAUACUUCCAGCCCAAUGAAUUAACCUUGAACAGCCACAGCCAUAUUUUAAGAAAUACAGAAUAACCUUUUACGAUCAAGAUAAUGCUAUGGAGGCAGUGAAAUCUUCAUCUUAAAAAAUAAUUAAACCACAUUUAUAAUUAAUUAUACUAAAAAUGGAAAGUAGACUUAACCCUUUUAGAAAGACUUCCAUCAACAUGAGGUGAAACAAAUAUAGUUUUCUAGAUAACCUUCUCUUAAUCAUAAAAUUCAAUUAACUUGAAAACCUUCUCUCCAAAUAUCCUGCUUAAGAAGAUUUACUGUGCUUGUCAGGCUUUGGCGCCCUGGCUGAAAUUUCUUUGCUUAGUUAUGCUGCUAUGCAGUUCACUCCAGAUCAGUGUAUCAGGGAUGACAAAACAGUGGCACAUUCCAAGUGUCAUUCCUCAGUGUUCUUUCUGUGAGCUUGUUCUUUACCAUGGGGCUUUUUGUGUUGUAGAACACUUCUGGAUUGAAGAAAACAUUCUAACAAGGACUAGAAAAUUCCAACUCUACUUCCUAAAAUUGCGCUAUAGAACAGUGUUAAGUGAAUGCCUCAGAGAGCCACAAAUAACUUGCAGGAAUGCAUAGGGUGUCUUCCCACAACCACAGGCAGUGGAGCCUCAGUCUGUGAAACAAACAGCUCCUACCACCACGGCUGCCUUACAGAGAGGCUUAUGCCAAAGUAAUACUCUUAGCUUCUUGACCUUGAUAUUUUAAAUUUUAUAACCACAGUGACAAUCUUUAACAUCAUGUAUUAUUUAAAGCACAGGGAUGGUUUUAUAUGGAGUUAAAUGGACCUAGGAGUAAGGCUGCAUUCCUUCUAAACAUACAGUGUUGAAGUGAGCCUUGCUUGAGAAAGGAGGUUUUGGCUUAGAGGGAGACUGAGUCUUAGCUGAGUUCACCUGAGAAAUAACCAGGUUUUAAUCUUUUCAGACGGGGCAAUAUAAAAUAGUUCUUAUUAGCAUGGAAAAGGUCACUUUUGAAAGAUCGAUUCACCUUCACAGAUGAUUUAUCACUGCUUUGCAAACAAAAGAUUUUUUUUUAAUAACUUAUUUAAUAACACAGAUCCUAUGAGAAAACCAAAGUUUAGAGUUGACCCAGAUUUCUGUGAUGUUCUUCCCAUUUGAAUUCUGAAAUAAAUAAAGAAGGAACAAACAAGCAUGUGUAAUUAGUGAAGAGCAAUUUCAGUAAACAUAUUCCCUAGGGUACUCUAUUUUGAGUCACUGCUUUUUCCUUUUGAUGUACAAAGGAUGUACAUUGUCUAUGUAGGGCAAUUAUGGGAACGUCCCAACUUUGGCAUGCUUUCCAGAAUAAGCAACUUUACAGGAAGAUGGAUGAAGACAACAACUCAUCUUCACGUCAACUGUAAAUUUCUCUCUAUUUGUGUUGCAAAUGUUGAAACUAAAUUUAAACAUUGCUUGGUGUGAGGGCCUUCCAGAGGCCACAUUCUCAUGGAAUACUUUGUAUCCCACUUACUUUCUUCUGUCAGACCCUAUGAAUGAUUCCCAGUUCUGUAUCUAUCUUUACAGACACUCCUAGUUAGUAAAAUCCAGGCUUUGACCAGAAAGAGUCAGGACUUCCACCCACUACUGAAAAUUAUAGCUUAAUCAAUAACACAAUUAGACCUCCCCAACAAACUGGAUCCUACGUGCCUAUAUACUACUUAAGGUUCAUUUCUGGUUUAAUAAAGCUCUGUUCUCAACAUCAGUUGCUCCUUUGUGAAUUUGCUGAAAAGCUCAGACAUUUUAGCAUCUCUUAAAGUUCACAGCAAAGACAAUACUUAAUGUGUUUAAGGCCCAAUUAGUUAUAAAAUUAGGAAUUCAUAGUUCCCAUUUUUUUUAAUUGAGGACCCAAUUUUUGACAUUCAUUUAUUCAUACAGUGCCAAAUUACGACCUGUGCCAGAAUGUCAAUCUACCUGGAUAAGCAGAUACAGAUUUUACCUACUGCACUGGGCACUGUGGGGUAAUUAAUUUCUAAGUGUGUACUUUUUAAAGUGACUGUUUUUUACUUCAUAUGGACAAGGUAGAGAAAACAUUUAAAUCCCAUAGUGGUUUACUUCUGUUUUUUAUGGGUUAUCAUAAAUUGAUACAUCUUAGGGGAUACAAAUGAAUAUUAAAAAGCAAAAGAUUAAUAUUUUUCUUAAAAGGACACAUGCUACAAAACUUACUUUGUAGUUCCGACUUAAAUAUUACUGCGUAUUAUGUUUGCCAUUAGCCUACUUAUUAAAACAUUAACUAUAAACACCA